rnacentral:lncRNA from 10 species
UGGAUUGUAGGCGUGCUGGAAAAAUGCCCUGCCAUUAUACUCUCUGAAUCACCCUUAGUUUAUAAGGAAAAUAAACUCUAAUUUAUGCUAAGGAAAAAAAUUCAAAUAUGCAUAUAACUCUAGUAUUUCUUUCUUCAAUAAAUUUAUUGAAUAUCCACUAGGUGCUAAAGAAGCUACCUGAAAGAUUAAUAGGAUACAAUUAUACAAGCAACUAGCAACUUAGUGAAUGGGAUAAAUAUAUCUGCUUGCAAUGAUGAUAUAUUGCAACAUGAAUAUUGUAGAGCACCAAAACUCAACUUGAGAGAAAACGUGAGAUAAACAUUUCUGUAGAAGAUCAGUUGAGUCUUAAAAAAAAAUUAGGAGGGUUUAGUAGUUCAAGGCAGAGUGGAGAAACACAGAACAUUUUAUGCGAAGGGGCACAGAAGUGAAAGCACAGAUCGUGGUGUGGUGUUUCAACAGUGAAGUUUAGGCAUUGUUGACAGUUCAUGGCAGAAAAUGAGUAUUCAGAGGCAGAUUAAGACAGUGAUAUGAAAAGCUUUGCUAGGAAGCUUGACUUUUCAAAAAUUCACCUUGCCUUUUCUGUAUGCUUGACACUAAGAAGUUAGAAAGGUACACCUCAUGUUCCCCUGCCCUCCGCAACAAAAACGAGUGUACCCUUCACAUGUCGAGCACCAAAGACUACAGAGAAUGGGUCUUUACUUCAGGUGUGGACUGGACAGAGUUUGCUUUGGGGAGGGAGUUGGGAAUACCUCAUAGAUCAUUUCUUGUUUUCUUCAUUCACUGCCCAAGGCAGGCCCUAAUUUUCCAUUCUCUAGUGCUACCCUCAAGAUGGUCUGCCUUUUCUAUGUGGUCCUUUCAUCCCCGUCUCUAUCCCUGGUCUGACCUGGGAUGUUCUCCACCCUGUAGCCUAGGAUCUCUGCAAAAAGAAGAAAAAAGAUAAAGACAUACCAAUUUACUGUGUUUCCUCGAUUUCAAACAUCUUUUACCUAGCCAAGAGUGGCUGGUUUGGAGAAAAAGUAAGAAAAUUUUGCUUAAAGAAUCUGUCUCCUGGCCGGGAGCGGUGGCUCACUCCUGUAAUCCCAGCAUUUUGGGAGGCUGAGGCGGACGGAUCACGAUGUCAAGAGAUCGAGACCAUCCUGGCUAACACGGUGAAACCCCGUCUCUACUAAAAAUAGAAAACUCAGCUGGGCGUGGUGGUGUGCAUCUCUAGUUCCAGCUACUCGGGAGGCUGAGGCAGGAGACUGGCGUGAACCUGGGAGGCGGAGGUUGCAGUGAGCCGA